rnacentral:rRNA from 1 species
UACAGAGGGUGCAAGCGUUAAUCGGACUUACUGGGCGUAAAGGGCGCGUAGGCGGAUAUUUAAGUCAGAUGUGAAAUACCUGGGCUCAACCGAGGGGAUGGCAUUUGAGACUGGAUAUCUAGAGUAUGGUAGAGGGGAGCGGAAUUUCCAGUGUAGCGGUGAAAUGCGUAGAGAUUGGAAAGAACACCAGUGGCGAAGGCGGCUCUCUGGACUAAUACUGACGCUGAGGCGCGAAAGCAUGGGGAUCAAACAGG